GUGCUUGCUUCGGCAGCACAUAGACUAAAAGGGGAACGAUACAAAGAAGAUUGGCAUGGCCCCUGCGCAAGGAUGACACACAAAUUCAGGAAGCAUUCUUAAAAAAAAAAUUUUU
rnacentral:snRNA from 1 species